rnacentral:lncRNA from 1 species
CUGCGGAAGACGCUGCGGCGCACGCCCUUCGCCGGGUACCCCGCUUGGGCCUCGCGCUCGGGCCUGGGUGAAUCGGCGCUCACACGGCGCCUAUGCUCAGCUCUGCGCAGGCGGAACAUCUGCCGAGCCGGCGCCGGAGCGGUAGGGCACGCUGAGGGGAUGCUCCACCGUGGCAUGCGAACGCGGACUGUGUCAGGCAUGAGAACGCGGGAGCCCUGCGGCUGAGGAAAGCAGACGUGCGGGGAGCCAAGCCCAGACUCUCAAGAGGGUAGAAAUGGCUACUAGAUAAGGAAACAGGAUGAGAUUGACGUGUUUAACGUUACAGAAUAUGGAAGUUGGGCGCCACAACUUGGCUGUACCACAUUUAAACUCAAGUCUAUUAGGGGCUUGAUCCACUUUCUUUUCUCUACACCACAUUGUUUCCGUAUAAGCAACUUAUGUGUCGG